rnacentral:snRNA from 1 species
GUACUCGCUUCGGCGGUACAUAUACUAAAAUUGGAACGAUACAGAGAAGAUUAACAUGGCCCCUGCGCAAGGAUGACUCGCAAAUCGUUAG